rnacentral:RNase_P_RNA from 1 species
AGAGCCGGCCGGGCGGCCGCGUCGGGACCCACGGGUCCCGCCGAGGAACGUCCGGGCUCCGAAGGGCAGGGUGGUGGGUAACGCCCACCUGGGGUGACCCACGGGACAGUGCCACAGAAAACAGACCGCCAGGAGUCCUCGGACCCCUGGUAAGGGUGAAACGGUGGUGUAAGAGACCACCAGUGCCCGAGGUGACUCGGGCAGCUAGGUAAACCCCACCCGGAGCAAGGUCAAAAGGGAGCCUCCGGGCUCCUGCGCAGGCGAUCGAGGGCGGCCCGCCCGAGCCUGCGGGUAGACCGCUAGAGGCCGGCGGCAACGCCGGCCGUAGAUGGAUGGCCGCCUCCGCGCGGGCCGCAAGGCCCCCGCGAGACAAAACCCGGCGUACAGGCCGACUCUUCCG